rnacentral:rRNA from 1 species
UACGGAGGAUCCGAGCGUUAUCCGGAUUUAUUGGGUUUAAAGGGAGCGUAGGUGGAUUGUUAAGUCAGUUGUGAAAGUUUGCGGCCCAACCGUAAAAUUGCAGUUGAAACUGGCAGUCUUGAGUACAGUAGAGGUGGGCGGAAUUCGUGGUGUAGCGGUGAAAUGCUUAGAUAUCACGAAGAACUCCGAUUGCGAAGGCAGCUCACUGGACUGCAACUGACACUGAGGCUCGAAAGUGUGGGUAUCAAACAGG